CUUUUAGUCAUUGACAACUUGUAUAGUGAAAUAACUUUGCAUAUCUCAGCACAUAUUUCUACUUAUUCACUACACACAAUAACAAUUGUUUCACUUAUCUAGGUGAUGACAACAACCAGAUGGUAAAUCGCCAGAAGUCUAAUAAAUCUCAGGAGCAUUAUACAAGCCAUGAGUGAUCAUGAUUUCCAAGAGGUCCAUAUCCACAACGUAUUUCACCGACUUAAGAUAAUAUAUGCAUAUAUAUCAAAACACCAGUAUGCACAUAUUAAUUAUUUUCAUAACUCAAAUUCUGAAGAGAACGUGUUAUAUUGCAACAACAACCUCCUACAUAUGAGUCUUAUUUCACUUGGAAUACAGAAUUUCAUUUAUCCGAACAGAACAAUGAUCAAGCUAAGUUUUCCAUCACACUCCACAUAUAAUUUUAACCAGAAUUAGUUAUAUAUAACAUAUCUGAUAUCAAUAAUACUGAAUUAAUGAAAUAACGAAACUAAUUGUUCAGUGAUAUUAACAAUAGAAUAAUAUAAUAAUUAUUCCCUGUAACACAUCACAGUUCAAAUACAGAAGUAGAAGAAAAAGUCACAGCCAUUUUACUACUAAUUCACAGUUUAUUAAUUAUCAUUAAUUAACAAACUAGAAGUCUAUUCAAUUUUAAAGACAGAUACUAAUCCGAUUUAUAUAUUUCAGUAAAUCCUGAAGAGAGCAUGUUGUAUUGCAAUUACAACUUUCAAUGUUUAGAUUAAAGGAAAGUCACAGUUAUUUUGGUCGAAACAUUAUUCAAUCAGUGCAGUCUUAUAUCCGAAAUCAGACCAUUAAAUACAAUAAUAAUGAUUAUUUAUUAUAACACAUCACAAUGCAGAUGCAAAAUAGAAGAAAGUCACGACUGUAUUAUUAUUAUUUCACAACUUAUUGUUUAUCAUUGACUAAUUAAUUAAAAUCUAUUCAAUUUAAAGUCAGAUACUAAUUUAACUGGUCUAUUUCAGUAAGUUUGAUAUACCUAGUAUUGUUAAUAUUAAAUCAUGUCCACAAGAAGUUCAUCAUACAGCAAAUAACUAUUUAACACCAUAUUCCAAAUUAGAAUAAUAAUAUUGUUUUAUUCAACAGGGUCCCAUUCAGAGUCUAAAGAUGACAUCAGAGCAAUCAUCAUCAAUUUUAAUACAUCCGACUUAACGAAAUACAUAUACCGUAUAAAUAUACACAUAUGUAAAUCUUGGAAUGAAAAGCGACAAUAUCCUCCUCCAGAAGAGCAACAAAUAUGACAGAAGCACUAAUAGGACUUAUCAUUAGAAAGUUUCUUAUACGAUUAUCAAUCCAGACUAAUUGAAGUAAUUAAUGCAUAUCAAUGUCUAUUAUCACAUUAAUAAUAAAGUCACUAAUUAUCAGACCAAUAA